rnacentral:rRNA from 1 species
UACGGGGGGAGCAAGCGUUGUUCGGAUUUACUGGGCGUAAAGGGCGCGUAGGCGGCGCAACAAGUCACUUGUGAAAUCUCCGGGCUUAACCCGGAGCGGUCAAGUGAUACUGUCGUGCUAGAGUGCGGAAGGGGCUACUGGAAUUCCAGGUGUAGCGGUGAAAAUGCGUAGAUAUCUGGAGGAAUACCGGUGGCGAAGGCGGCAUCCUGGACCGACAUUGACGCUGAUGGAGCGAAAAGCUAGGGGGAGCCAAAC